GAAUCGCUAGUAAUCGCGGAUCAGAAUGCCGCGGUGAAUACGUUCCCGGGUCUUGUACACACCGCCCGUCACACCAUGGGAGUCGGAAAUGCCCGAAGUCUGUGACCCAACCUGAGAGGGAGGGAGCAGCCGAAGGCAGGUCUGAUGACUGGGGUGAAGUCGUAACAAGGUAGC
rnacentral:rRNA from 1 species